rnacentral:rRNA from 1 species
GAUGAACGCUGGCGGCGUGCUUAACACAUGCAAGUCGAACGGAAAGGUCAGUGCUUGCACUGGUACUCGAGUGGCGAACGGGUGAGUAACACGUGGGUGAUCUGCCCUGCACUUCGGGAUAAGCCUGGGAAACUGGGUCUAAUACCGGAUAGGACAAUGGUUUGGAUGCCGUUGUGGAAAGUUUUUUCGGUGUGGGAUGAGCUCGCGGCCUGUAAGCUUGUUGGUGGGGUGAUGGCCUACCAAGGCGUCGACGGAUAGCCGGCCUGUGAGGGUGUAGGGCGACAAGGGGACUUGGAAACGGGACACGCUCCAACGGGAGGCAGCAGGGAGGAGUAGUGCACAAUGGGCGCAAGGCGAAUGCCGGGACGCGGCGUGGGGGGUGAAUGCCUUCGGGUUGUGGACUCCAUUCUCUUGUGACGAGGCGUGUUUGUGACGGUACCUGGAGAAGAAGCACCGGCUAACUACGUG